GGUAACACGUGGGUGAUCUGCCCUGCACUUCGGGAUAAGCCUGGGAAACUGAGUCUAAUACCGGAUAGGACGAUGGUUUGGAUGCCAUUGUGGAAAGUUUUUCGGUGUGGGAUGAGCUCGCGGCCUAUCAGCUUGUUGGUGGGGUAAUGGCCUACCAAGGCGUCGACGGGUAGCCGGCCUGAGAGGGUGUACGGCCACAUUGGGACUGAGAUACGGCCCAG
rnacentral:rRNA from 1 species